rnacentral:rRNA from 1 species
GACGAACCGUGCGAACGUUGUUCGGAAUCACUGGGCUUAAAGGGCGCGUAGGCGGGCAGUCAGGUCCGGGGUGAAAGCACACGGCUUAACCGUGUAAUAGCCUGGGAUACCGGCUGUCUGGAGGAGGGUAGGGGCAUGUGGAACUUCCGGUGGAGCGGUGAAAUGCGUUGAUAUCGGAAGGAACGCCGGUGGCGAAAGCGACGUGCUGGGCCCUUCCUGACGCUGAGGCGCGAAAGCCAGGGGAGCAAACGGG